rnacentral:rRNA from 1 species
GACGAACGCUGGCGGCGCGCUUAACACAUGCAAGUCGAACGGAAAGGCCUGCUUUCCCUCGUGGAUUGCGGGUACUCGAGUGGCGAACGGUUGAGUAACACGUGAGUGAUCUGCCCCCAACUUGGGUAUAAGCCUGGGAAACUGGGUCUAAUUCCCGAUAGGACUGCAGGGUGGUGCCUGUGGUGGAAAAAGAUUUUCUAGUGGUUGGGGAUGGGCUCGCGGCCUAUCAGCUUGUUGGUGGGGGAAUGGCCUACCAAGGCGGCGACGGGUAGCCGGCCUGAGAGGAUGGACGGGCGCAUUGGGACUCGGUCUAGCCCCCGACUCCAGCAGGAGGUAGCAAUUGGGGAGAAUUCGGAGGAGGCGGAAGCCUGCUGCGGCGACGCAGGGAGGACGAUGGCGGGCUUCGGAAUGUAAUCUACUUGCGACGACGAGGGAAACACCUAGAUGGAAAGGUAGUGACGGUAGUGGUAGAAGAAGCACCGGCUAACUACGUG